GCAGUCGACGCUGAAGCACCUUCGGGUGUGGAUGAGUGGCGAACGGGUGAGUAACACGUGGGUAACCUGCCCUGUACUUUGGGAUAAGCCCUGGAAACGGGGUCUAAUACCGAAUAUGACCUGCCAAGGCAUCUUGGUGGGUGGAAAGUUUCGGCGGUACAGGAUGGGCCCGCGGCCUAUCAGCUUGUUGGUGGGGUAGUGGCCUACCAAGGCGACGACGGGUAGCCGGCCUGAGAGGGUGACCGGCCACACUGGGACUGAGACACGGCCCAGACUCCUACGGGAGGCAGCAGUGGGGAAUAUUGCACAAUGGGCGGAAGCCUGAUGCAGCGACGCCGCGUGAGGGAUGACGGCCUUCGGGUUGUAAACCUCUUUCGCCAGGGACGAAGCGUAAGUGACGGUACCUGGAGAAGAAGCACCGGCUAACUACGUGCCAGCAGCCGCGGUAAUACGUAGGGUGCAAGCGUUGUCCGGAAUUAUUGGGCGUAAAGAGCUCGUAGGCGGCUUGUCGCGUCUGCUGUGAAAAUCCGGGGCUUAACUCCGGACCUGCAGUGGAUACGGGCAGGCUUGAGUUCGGUAGGGGAGACUGGAAUUCCUGGUGUAGCGGUGAAAUGCGCAGAUAUCAGGAGGAACACCGGUGGCGAAGGCGGGUCUCUGGGCCGAUACUGACGCUGAGGAGCGAAAGCGUGGGGAGCGAACAGGAU
rnacentral:rRNA from 1 species